ensembl:lncRNA
GUGGCCGUGGGGUGACAGGGUGGUGGCCUUGGGGUGACACGGUGGUGGCCAUGGGGUGACAGGGUGGUGGCCAUGGGGUGACACGGUGGUGGCCUUGGGGUGACAACAUGGUGGCUGCAAAGUGACAGGGUGGUGGCCAUGGGGUGACAUGGGACAGUGACACCAUGGGGUGGGGUACAAUAGGAGGAGGUGACACUGUGGGAGGUGACACUGUGGGGUGGGUGACACUGAGGAGGUGACACUGUGGGACAGUGACAUACCGGGGUGGGUGACAAUGGGAGGAGGUGACACUGUGGGACGGUGACACCGUGGGGUGGUGACAUGAUGGGGAGGUGACACUGGGAUGGUGACACUGUGGGA